GGGCCCCGGCAGACCUCUUCUGCUUCUGCUCAGGAUCAGUUCUGGGGAGUCAGCUGACGCUGGUCCCGGCGACGUCGCCUAGCUGCACUACCUUAACUGCUUGCGUCAUGGCUUGACACAGUCCCCUGCUUGACGUGAGAGACUCCAUUUUGCUCUCUACAUUCUUAUGGUGAUUGGAGGACACACCUCAGCGAAACCAUGGAGGAAUCUUGAAGAACAAGAUUUAUUACUCACAAAGCUUGAGGGGAGCAUGGCGAGCACACUCAGAGGUCACACAGCAAGGUCACAGAUUUGGUGGCAGUGGUGGGAUCCAAAGUGAACUUCUGAUGGAAUCUGGGGACAGGCCCAGGCUCCAGGAACCCAUGUUCAAGUUCUCCGUCUUUCUCAGUGUUCCUGAGGGCCAUGGCCACUAACUACCAAGUAAAUGAUCUCCCUAAGACCGGAAUGUCAGAAAAGGAACGAAGAGAAUGACUGAUUUAAGAACUGUGAAUCCAGAGUCAUGG